UCUCCGUAGGUGAACCUGCGGAGGGAUCAUUACUGAGUGAGGGCUUCGGUCCGACCUCCAACCCUUUGUGAACCAAACUUGUUGCUUCGGGGGCGACCCUGCCGUUCGCGGCGCGGCGCCCCCGGGGGAAAUCAAACACUGCGUCAAUUUGUGUCGGAGUACUUGUUAAUGAACAAAACUUUCAACAACGGAUCUCUUGGUUCUGGCAUCGAUGAAGAACGCAGC
rnacentral:misc_RNA from 1 species